UACGAGGGGUGCAAGCGUUGCUCGGAAUUAUUGGGCGUAAAGGGUAGGUAGGUGGUCUUAUUUGUCUGGGGUGAAAGCCUUGAGCUUAACUCAAGAAGUGCCCCAGAAACGGUAAGACUCGAGUCCUGGAGAGGGUCGUGGAAUUCCCGGUGUAGCGGUGAAAUGCGUAGAGAUCGGGAGGAACACCAGAGGCGAAAGCGGCGACCUGGACAGGCACUGACACUCAACUACGAAAGCGUGGGGAGCAAACAGG
rnacentral:rRNA from 1 species